CUGUCAUAUCAUGCUGAAACACUAAAUCCCUUAUGAUCACAGAAGUUAAGCAACAAUGUGCCUGAUCAAUACCUAAAUAGGUGACCACUUGGAAAUACCAGGUGCUGUAG